rnacentral:rRNA from 1 species
UACGUAGGGAGCAAGCGUUGUCCGGAAUCAUUGGGCGUAAAGCGCGCGUAGGUGGCCUCAUAAGUCCGCUGUGAAAGUCAAAGGCUCAACCUUUGAAAGCCGGUGGAUACUGUGAGGCUAGAGUACGGAAGAGGCGAGUGGAAUUCCUGGUGUAGCGGUGGAAUGCGCAGAUAUCAGGAGGAACACCAAAGGCGAAGGCAGUGUCCUGGCUGGUACCUGACGCUCAGGGGCGAAAGCGAGGGGAGCGAACGGG